GACGAACGCUGGCGGCGUGCCUAAUACAUGCAAGUAGAACGCACAGUUUAUACCGUAGCUUGCUACACCAUAGACUGUGAGUUGCGAACGGGUGAGUAACGCGUAGGUAACCUGCCUGGUAGCGGGGGAUAACUAUUGGAAACGAUAGCUAAUACCGCAUAAUAUUGAUUAUUGCAUGAUAAUUGAUUGAAAGAUGCUAUUGCAUCACUACCAGAUGGACCUGCGUUGUAUUAGCUAGUAGGUGAGGUAACGGCUCACCUAGGCGACGAUACAUAGCCGACCUGGGAGGGUGAACGGCCACACUGGGACUGGGACACGGCCCAGACCCCUACGGGAGGCAGCAGUAGGGAAUCUUCGGAAAUGGACGAAGGUCUGACCGAGCAACGCCGCGUGAGUGAAGAAGGGUUUCGGAUCGUAAAGCUCUGUUGUAAGAGAAGAACGGGUGUGAGAGUGGAAAGUUCACACUGUGACGGUAUCUUACCAGAAAGGGACGGCUAACUACGUG
rnacentral:rRNA from 1 species